rnacentral:RNase_P_RNA from 1 species
AAAGGGGAUCAGAUGAUCGCUUUUUGUCCAGACAUGGGUGGAGAGAGGAAAGUCCGGGCUCCGUAGAGCAGGGUGCUGGAUAACGUCCAGUGGGGGAAACCCUAAGGAAAGUGCCACAGAAAUCAAACCGCCGGGGUCGCGUUGGGAACGGCAAGCCGCUUGACGUCAGAUGCCCGGUAAGGGUGAAACGGUGCGGUAAGAGCGCACCAGUCUCGAUGGUGACAUCGGGAGCUUGGUAAACCCCAUCCGGAGCAAGACCAAAUAGGGGAGCGAUCCCAUACCUUAGUGGGGCAAAGUGGGAUAAGGAUUGCUCGUCCGAUGCUUCCGGGUUCGGUCGCUUGAGGCAUGCGGUAACGCAUGUCCCAGAGGAAUGAUCAUCGCCAUUGGGCUGUGCCUGAUGGAACAGAACCCGGCUUACCGAUUCGCUUUGUCC